UAGUAUGUGUUAAUUAAUGACAGUUACGGACCAUCUUGUUCUAUGUCUGUAUAGGUCCUAGCGCAAUGAGAUCCUGGUCUGUGACUGGGACUAUGAGGCAGUUCUCCAAUACAAAUAAUCACAUGCUGAUCUACAGAAAUACUUUUGUACCGUGGCCAUCCCCACUGGCUUAAGAAAUUAGUCACUGAAAAUGGAAGUAUGUGAACUUGACAUCUGCAGUUUAACUCAGUCCCCUCGCUCCUGCACUUAGUGUUCUUUCUGUUCAAUACACCCUCUCUGAAUGCACAGGAGAACCAUGAUGGAUGAUGACAAAGGAGGAAUUGCGAGCUGUGUCAGGUCAGCUAAUCAAAUGAGAAGGAGCUGGUACAGUCCAGAAAGUGAAUCAGUCCUGUCUGGGAAAUCAGACCCAUGUGAUAAACAUUGUGGUUGGAGGUUUUUCCCUGGGAGACUGUGAGUAUUCAGUUAAUUUCUUUCCUCCUUAGCCAGCAUGAACACAGAGCUAUAAAUAGAAAUGCAAAGGAGUGAAGUGAUCUACCUGUCGAAUACAUGCAUUCCAGUGAUAGCCCUGGUUUGGGAGGAGCUCUUAUUGGGGCCAGUGAUACCAUCUCCUAGGGUCUGUGCUGGCUGGAGGGCAUUAUGGACAAGGACCACUGCCAUUGUCCAGACAGGUGCUCAGACACCAUGAUGAUGCAUGCAGUGUAAAUCCCAGACAGACAGAUUAAGUAGACAGAAAUUGUGGCUCACAUGCUGCCAACCACUCAUUCUUUGCCCUUGCAGAGUGUGUUCCUCAGUUAUCAGCAUCCUUUCAGCCUAACGUUGUCUAACGUUUGCCUAGAUUAAGAAAGAAGUUGAGGUCCCAUGCUAAUACUAACCUUGUUUCCUAAUCUAGACAUACCUAAAACUAGAACAGGUGGAGUUGGCAGAUUCCAGUAAAUGUAUGUCAUGGGGCAUUGUGGUGAUAGCAAUGGAGCCUGGGAAAGGCUUGUAAAUACUCUAGGCAGACCAGCAGGUUCAGGAUAUGCAUAGAAAGAGUAUCGUUUGUUUUCAUCCUCUGAGUACUGUCACGGAUCCACAGGGUUUGGUCUAUGCCCCAGCAGCAGGG
rnacentral:lncRNA from 1 species